rnacentral:rRNA from 1 species
AUAUCAAUAAGCGGAGGAAAAGAAACCAACAGGGAUUGCCCUAGUAACGGCGAGUGAAGCGGCAACAGCUCAAAUUUGAAAUCUGGCCCUUGGGUCCGAAUUGUAAUUUGUAGAGGAUGAUUUUGGUGCGGUACCUUCCGAGUUCCUUGGAACAGGACGCCUUAGAGGGUGAGAGCCCCGUACGGUUGGAUACCUAGCCUCUGUAAAUCUCCUUCGACGAGUCGAGUAGUUUGGGAAUGCUGCUCUAAAUGGGAGGUAAAUUUCUUCUAAAGCUAAAUACUGGCCAGAGACCGAUAGCGCACAAGUAGAGUGAUCGAAAGAUGAAAAGCACUUUGAAAAGAGGGUUAAAUAGCACGUGAAAUUGUUGAAAGGGAAGGAUUUAUGACCAGACUUUUUCUGGGCAGAUCAUCCGGUGUUCUCACCGGUGCACUUUGCCCAGUUUAGGCCAGCAUCGAUUUCCGGAGGGGGAUAAAAGCUUUAGGAAUGUGGCUCCUUCGGGAGUGUUAUAGCCUAUUGUAUAAUACCUUUCUGGGGAUCGAGGUACGCGCUUCUGCAAGGAUGCUGGCGUAAUGGUUAUCAAUCACCCGUCUUGAAACACGGACCAAGGAGUCGAACAUUUGUGCGAGUGUUUGGGUGUUAAACCCUCACGCGUAAUGAAAGUGAACGGAGGUAAGAGCCCUUACGGGUGCAUUAUCGACCGAUCCUGAAGUUUUCGGAUGGAUUUGAGUAGGAGCAUAAAUGUUCGGACCCGAAAGAUGGUGAACUAUGCGUGGAUAGGGUGAAGCCAGAGGAAACUCUGGUGGAGGCUCGCAGCGGUUCUGACGUGCAAAUCGAUCGUCAAAUCUGCGCAUGU